CACCUAUACAUGAGAACAUACAAUAUUUGGUUUUCCAUUCCAUCUCAGAGGCCUUCAAGCCCCCAGGCCUGGUUCCUACUCUAUCAACUGCUCUCUGUCUCCAAAAGACUGUCCUUGCUAAUGUCACCAAGGACCUCUAUGAGCCAAAUUUAGGACUUUUCAGCCUUCAUUUGACUCCCAGUCCCUUCAAUAUUGAAGGCUGUUGACUACCCCUUCAUUUGGAAUCUCUCUGUCCCUUCUUUCAUGUCCUCACACUCUCUCUGACUAGUCCUCCCUCAAGCUUCUCACAAGGAAUGGCUUCCCUUUUCUUCAUACUGCACACUACUGCAGGGUAAGUUAAUCUAGCUCUUUGCAGGGAGCUGUGGACAGAGCUUGGACACACAGGCUGGGGCGUCUACACGUGCAUGCAAGCUCUCAACACACAGGAAGGAACUGGAGGUGGGAAAAUAACUCUCAGGCUGGUCAUGAUCUCUCAAACCAGAAUUCCCUUCAUGCCAGCUGCCUAUGGAGCCUCUAGUCAGUCAUUGUGAUGGUCAUGAGUGACCUCACUGAGUGCUGACUGUGAGCCAGGCUGAGUGAUGCACUUUACGUGGAUUAUCACCCUCUGUGGAGUCCCACACUCCUGUGACUCAGGUGUUGUUACUUCCCUUCAAGGCAUCAAGAAGUUAAGGGACUACCCAAGGCCACUGUAGCUAGUAAGUGGGGAAGGUGGGAUUCACACCCAGGGGUCUUGCUCCAGAGCCUGGGCCUAAAACCACUCAAUAUCUUCAAACAAACCUCCUGCUCCUCUGUCAGCCCUUUGUAUAUCAGAGGUGCCAUUAUUCAUGCCCUCAGAAAAGCCAGGGUCCUGGGAGGAGGGGUCCUCACCUCUCAGACAGGGUCAUCACCUCUUACCUCUUUCUCCGACCCACAUUCAGCCAUCACUAAACCAGGCAAACCCCCAUAUCAGUAACUUUCAAAUCCAUUCCUGUUAGGGAAUGAAUGUUUGUUUCCCCCCUCCAUUCCUGUGUUGAAGCUCUAACACUCACUGUGAUGGUAUUUGGUGAUGGGGCCUUUGGAAGGUGAUUAGGUUUAGAUGAGGUCAUGAAGGUGGGGUCCUCACAAUGGGAUUAGUGCCCUUAUAAGAAGAGACUCCAGGGCUUCCUCUCUACCACAUGAGGACAGAGUGAGAAGAUGGCUGUCUGCAACUGCCCUAAGGGCCAUCACAAGAACUCAACCGUGCAGGUCUUGAUCUCAGACUUCCAGCCUCCAGAACUGGGAAACGCCAUGUGAAGAUUAUGGAUUUCUGCUGCCACAAGCCAAGUAACUACCAGAAGCCAGGAGAGAGGGCUGGAGCAAGGGAGCCUGGCCCUGACGACACCUUGAUCUCAGACUUCGGGCCUCCAUAAUUAUGUAGUUUCACUCUUCUUGCCCAGGCUGG
rnacentral:lncRNA from 1 species